UACGGGGGAGCAAGCGUUGUUCGGAUUUACUGGGCGUAAAGGGCGCGUAGGCGGCGUGACAAGUCACUUGUGAAAUCUCCGGGCUUAACCCGGAGCGGUCAAGUGAUACUGUCGUGCUAGAGUGCGGAAAGGGCUACUGGAAUUCGUCGGUGUAAGCGGUGAAAUGCGUAGAUAUCGAGAGGAACACCUGCGGCGAAGGCGGGUAG
rnacentral:rRNA from 1 species